AGUGAACGCUGGCGGUAGGCCUAACACAUGCAAGUCGAACGGCAGCACAGUAAGAGCUUGCUCUUACGGGUGGCGAGUGGCGGACGGGUGAGGAAUACAUCGGAAUCUACUUUUUCGUGGGGGAUAACGUAGGGAAACUUACGCUAAUACCGCAUACGACCUACGGUUGAAAGCAGGGGAUCUUCGGACCUUGCGCGAUUGAAUGAGCCGAUGUCGGAUUAGCUAGUUGGCGGGGUAAAGGCCCACCAAGGCGACGAUCCGUAGCUGGUCUGAGAGGAUGAGCAGCCACACUGGAACUGAGACACGGUCCAGACUCCUACGGGAGGCAGCAGUGGGGAAUAUUGGACAAGGGGCGCAAGCCUGAUCCAGCCAUACCGCGUGGGUGAAGAAGGCCUUCGGGUUGUAAAGCCCUUUUGUUGGGAAAGAAAAGCAGCAGGUUAAUACCCCGCUGUUCUGACGGUACCCAAAGAAUAAGCACCGGCUAACUUCGUG
rnacentral:rRNA from 1 species